AAAAAGGGCAAGGAAAAAAUUUAAGCCUAGUUAAAAAUGUAAUUAAACCAAAUGCAUCAAUGAGAAGAUUGAGUUAUAGAAGAAUGGACAUGUCAUGAGAUUCUAAGACAUCAAGAGCUCCCAAAAAAAGCAUGCACGCAUCAAAACACACAAAUACAUAUAUGCAUAAUGUCGACGCAUAAUUGCCACCUCAAGAACUUGGACCAUAUCAUUUGUCAAUGAAAAGGUAGAAAACCUUUAAGCUGAAACUCAUAACUGAUAGAUAAUCAGAUUUAGAGGUAGCAAUCAAACCAACAUUUUUAACAACACCAUUCACAUCCUAAUGGAGAACAGAUUAGUUAUGUCCCAUCCCUGAAUGAAAUUAAGGCUUGUUUGGAAAUAGCAAUAAAGUUGACCUUGCAAUGACUUAAAAGAAAAAUAUAAUGUUAAUGAAUUAUAAUCUAUAAAGCUUAAAAACACAUCAUUCCAUUUGUGAUUAUAAUUAUUAUCAGAAAUUAUGUUAAAGGAAUCUAUAUGUUAAUUUGUUUUUCGAUAUUAUCGAGACCAGUUUCAGAACAGUGAACAGAUACUUCUAGUUCUGCCAACCAAGUGGUUACUGUUAGCUCCGCUUCCAAGCUCCACUCACACACGUUAAAGCCAAAACCAUAAAACACAGCCAAAUCGAAAUCAUUACCCUACUUAAAAAACAAAUUACUUGUACACCGUACAAUAAUUUAUCAGGAAUAGCCAUCAUCCAAGGCUUCCUUGAGAAGAAAUUUCAUUCAAUGAACGGAUCUAAAAAAGAACUACUGGUUAGAAGCUAAAUCGAGUAUCGAAUACAUAACUAAGCAUAAGAUACACCUUUAAUCUUCAAAUAGAGCAUAAACUAGAAACCUAAAAUAUGUACUAUUUUGUAUGGUUCAGCAGGCUGAGAAACAAUAAUAUGAUUAUUGGAUUAUAACUUACUACUCUGGAGUCAUUAUCGCGAUG
rnacentral:misc_RNA from 1 species